AUGGAGCGGGGCCCAGAUGGGGCCGCUCUCGGGGCUCUUGGGCUCGCCGGCAUAUGCCGUGAGACCUUUGUCUUCAUCCGCGCCCGCCGCCCGGGCUUCGCCUCCAUGGCCGGCGAGCUGGUCGGGCUCUCCCUGUCCAGGCUCGCCCACGUCGCCAUCUCCCGCGCCUUCCUCUCUCGCGCAGUCGCUGCCUCCGACGCCGGCGCCGGCUCCGUCCGCCUCGCCGCGAAUUGGGGCUCCUUCUUCCUCGUAGAGGCCGCCUGCCUCCUCUGCGUCGUCCUCCCGUCACUCAGCUUCGCCGCCUACCUCGUCCACUCCGCCGCCCCGCGCUACGGCUUCGUCGACGACCGCGACGCCCGCUCCAUCGCCCACGAGCUCCGCACCGUCCCCAGGUUCCUCGCCAGCGGCCACGCGUCGACCUUCCAAGGCAACUCCCGCAGAGCCGCGCGCGCGCUCAAGGUUGGCUGGCGCCUCGUGGUCACCACCUUCGACGCCUUCCUCCUCCUCCUCGGCUACACCGCCCUCUUCGGCGCCGCCGCCUGGCUCGCGCACCACCACCUUCUCGCCGCCGCUGCUCCGGGUGAGGAGAUCGGCGUGCAGCUUCCGCGGACGGCGGUGCUGCUGGCCGGCGCCGCAUACCUCGCCGGAGCGGCGCACAUCGGCGCGGUGUGGCGCGUCGCCUGCGUGAUGCUGGUGCUGGAGGACGACUGGGGCUUCCGCAGCAUGCACGUGAGCGACGAGCUCCUCGCCGGCAAGUUCUGGGCCGCGGCCCCCGUCCUCUGGACGCUCGACGGGUGCAUCGUGGCCGUGCAGCUGGCCUUCGGGGCGCUGGUUGUGGACAACAGCAUCGGCCUCGGCGUGUGUCUCCGGGUGGCCGCGGGGAUGGUGAUGGCGGCGGCGCUGUGGCUGGCGGUGAUGGCGGGGCAGGUGGCGCAGGUGGUGGUGUACUUCGUGUGCAAGAGCAACCACCGCGGGAGCUCCGAGGGCACGACGGCGAACAACCUGGAGGACGUCGGCCGGAGAGGGCGAGCCACUAGGAAGCGACAGUGA
rnacentral:rRNA from 1 species